rnacentral:rRNA from 1 species
GACGAACGCUGGCGGCGUGCCUAAUACAUGCAAGUUGAGCGCUGAAGGUUGGUACUUGUACCAACUGGAUGAGCAGCGAACGGGUGAGUAACGCGUGGGGAAUCUGCCUUUGAGCGGGGGACAACAUUUGGAAACGAAGGCUAAUACCGCAUAAAAACUUUAAACACAAGUUUUAAGUUUGAAAGAUGCAAUUGCAUCACUCAAAGAUGAUCCCGCGUUGUAUUAGCUAGUUGGUGAGGUAAAGGCUCACCAAGGCGAUGAUACAUAGCCGACCUGAGAGGGUGAUCGGCCACAUUGGGACUGAGACACGGCCCAAACUCCUACGGGAGGCAGCAGUAGGGAAUCUUCGGCAAUGGACGAAAGUCUGACCGAGCAACGCCGCGUGAGUGAAGAAGGUUUUCGGAUCGUAAAACUCUGUUGGUAGAGAAGAACGUUGGUGAGAGUGGAAAGCUCAUCAAGUGACGGUAACUACCCAGAAAGGGACGGCUAACUACGUG